GCCGGGCGCGGUGGCGCGUGCCUGUAAUCCCAGCUACUCGGAAGGCUGAGCCCGGAGGAUCGCUUGAGUCCAGGAGUUCUGGGCUGCAGUGCGCUAUGCCGAUCGAGUGUCCACACUAAGUUCGGCAUCAAUAUGGUGACCUCCCGGGAGCGGGGGAACACCAGGUUGCCUAAGGAGGGGUGAACUGGCCCAGGUCGGAAACGGAGCAGGUCAAAACUCCCGUGCUGAUCUGAAAUGGAGGGACAAAAUGUGAACAAAUAUAGCCAUAAUACUCACUAGAUACUAUGUUGAAAAUGU
ensembl:misc_RNA Metazoa_SRP Metazoan signal recognition particle RNA